rnacentral:rRNA from 1 species
UACGUAGGGUGCGAGCGUUGUCCGGAAUUAUUGGGCGUAAAGAGCUCGUAGGCGGUUUGUCGCGUCGGGAGUGAAAACUCAGGGCUUAACCCUGAGCCUGCUUCCGAUACGGGCAGACUAGAGGUAUGCAGGGGAGAACGGAAUUCCUGGUGUAGCGGUGAAAUGCGCAGAUAUCAGGAGGAACACCGGUGGCGAAGGCGGUUCUCUGGGCAUGUCCUGACGCUGAGGAGCGAAAGCGUGGGGAGCGAACAGG